GAGUUGAUGAAGCUGGACUUUCCGGCACCGACUGGGCUGUACAGCAGAACUCUGAUGGCUUUGACUUCUUCAUUUUGAGGCUUCAUCAAUGUGGGUGAGAAUCAACAGCUGAGGGAUUCCUGUGGAUACAGAGAGUUUUUCUUGCGUGGGCUGCAUCGAUGUGGGUGAGAAUCGCCAGCUGAGGGAUUCCUGUGGAUACAGAGUUUGCUAUUUCUUGUAUCUGAAUAUUGUAUUAGCAAUAAACUGAUUUUAACAAGUAUAUAGAAGUAAUUCUUCUAAGAUGAGCUGUAGGAUUUUUUUUUUAGAAAUGAAAAUUAUGAAAUCAUGUAUAAAAGACUAAUCUGC